UACGAAGGGUGCAAGCGUUGUUCGGAUUUAUUGGGCGUAAAGCGCGCGCAGGCGGAUUAAUAAGUCAGGUGUGAAAUCUCGGGGCCUAACCCCGAAACUGCGCCUGAAACUAUUAGUCUAGAAUGUCAUAGGGGGUUGGGGAAUUUCACGUGUAGGGGUAAAAUCCGUAGAGAUGUGAAGGAACACCUGAGGCGAAGGCGCCAACCUGGAUGACUAUUGACGCUGAGGUGCGAAAGCGUGGGGAGCAAACAGG
rnacentral:rRNA from 1 species